UACAGAGGUCUCAAGCGUUGUUCGGAUUCAUUGGGCGUAAAGGGUGCGUAGGCGGCGCGGUAAGUCGGGUGUGAAAUCUCGGAGCUUAACUCCGAAACUGCAUUCGAUACUGCGGUGCUUGAGGACUGGAGAGGAGACUGGAAUUCAUGGUGUAGCGGUGAAAUGCGUAGAUAUCGUAAGGAAGACCAGUGGCGAAGGCGGGUCUCUGGACAGUUCCUGACGCUGAGGCACGAAGGUCAGGGGAGCAAACGGG
rnacentral:rRNA from 1 species